rnacentral:tRNA from 1 species
AUUUUUGUAGUUGAUUUACAACGGUGGUUUUUCAUACCAUAGGUCUCAGUUGAGCAAAAAUU